UACGUAGGGGCCGAGCGUUGUCCGGAGUUAUUGGGCGUAAAGCGCGCGCAGGCGGCCUCGCGCGCCCGACGUGAAAGCCCCCGGCUUAACCCGGGGAGGGUCGUUGGGGGACGGCGGGGCUUGAGGGCGGGAGAGGGCGGUGGAAUUCCCGGUGUAGUGGUGAAAUGCGUAGAGAUCGGGAGGAACACCUGUGGCGAAGGCGGCCGUCUGGGCCGACCCGUG
rnacentral:rRNA from 1 species